rnacentral:rRNA from 1 species
GAUGAACGCUGGCGGCGUGCUUAACACAUGCAAGUCGAACGAAGCCAUUCGGACGGAAGUUUUCGGACCGAAGGAAGAAUGGCUGAGUGGCGGACGGGUGAGUAACGCGUGGGUAACCUGCCUCAUACAGGGGGGAUAACAGUUAGAAAUGACUGCUAAUACCGCAUAAGCCUACGGUGUCGCAUGACACAGUAGGAAAAGCUCCGGCAGUAUGAGAUGGACCCGCGUCUGAUUAGCUAGUUGGUGGGGUAACGGCCCACCAAGGCGACGAUCAGUAGCCGACCUGAGAGGGUGACCGGCCACAUUGGGACUGAGACACGGCCCAAACUCCUACGGGAGCUG